UGAGGAAUAUUGCGCAAUGGGGGCAACCCUGACGCAGCAACGCCGCGUGAGUGAGGAAGGUUUUCGGACCGUAAAGCUCUGUCGAGCGGGAAGAAAUGCAUGGUGGCUAAUAUCCAUCAUGCUUGACGGUACCGCUAAAGGAAGCACCGGCUAACUACGUGCCAGAAGCCGCGGUAAUACGGGGGGUGCAAGCGUUGUUCGGAAUUAUUGGGCGUAAAGAGCGUGUAGGCGGCUGGAUAAGUCAGAUGUGAAAUCCCUGGGCUUAACUCAGGAAGUGCAUUUGAAACUAUUCAGCUUGAGUAAGAGAGAGGAAAGUGGAAUUCCUGGUGUAGGGGUGAAAUUCGUAGAUAUCAGGAGGAACACCGGUGGCGAAGGCGACUUUCUGGCCCUAUACUGACGCUGAGACGCGAGAGCGUGGGUAGCAAACA
rnacentral:rRNA from 1 species